AAAUUGAAGAGUUUGAUCAUGGCUCAGAUUGAACGCUGGCGGCAGGCCUAACACAUGCAAGUCGAACGGUAACAGGAAGCAGCUUGCUGCUUCGCUGACGAGUGGCGGACGGGUGAGUAAUGUCUGGGAAACUGCCUGAUGGAGGGGGAUAACUACUGGAAACGGUAGCUAAUACCGCAUAACGUCGCAAGACCAAAGAGGGGGACCUUCGGGCCUCUUGCCAUCGGAUGUGCCCAGAUGGGAUUAGCUAGUAGGUGGGGUAACGGCUCACCUAGGCGACGAUCCCUAGCUGGUCUGAGAGGAUGACCAGCCACACUGGAACUGAGACACGGUCCAGACUCCUACGGGAGGCAGCAGUGGGGAAUAUUGCACAAUGGGCG
rnacentral:rRNA from 1 species